CAUUAUGACUUCAUUGUUCCUCUGUUUUAAAAGGAGAUGAUCCACCCUAAUGGACUCAAUGAUCAGCAGAGGAGGUUUCAAAGCAAGAGUAGGGAAGGGAUCUGUAGUUCACCUAGAUUCCACAUGACUAUCUUGAGGACCUACAGCUCCCUGGUACCAUGCAGUUUGCAUUUACAGCUUCAGUAAAGAUCUGUGAACGGUCCUAAUGCAAACGGCCUUUAAAAGCAGCUAGAAACGUUCAGUUCCCAACAGAUCCGUCUGAAAACCUAUGGCAGCAUUAGCCUGUCUUUAUUUUCACCUGAGAACUGCUCAUUUCAAACACUUUCAGGAAGAGAAAGACGACUGUUACUGGAAUCCAAUCAACCUCCCAAGUCCCUGGCUGUGGGAAGAACAAGCAGAUGCCGAGACAGGGGAAGGGGCUGAGCCAGGUUCUGCCCUACGGUACCAGGUCCUGGUUCUCACCUGUCCCUGUGAGAACGGGGCUCCGAUCACAGCCACCGAGUGAACAGACUUCUUCAGGGCGGAAUGCACUCGCGUCCGGAGGAGACGCGAGAGAUUGCUUCUCAGGGACAUGACCGGCACCGCAGUGGACAGUUGACCCAGAUGCUACUUCUUGCGGGUCGCCGCCUUAAAUGAGCGCAGCCGCCAGGCGCCGGGCUUACCUUCCCGGGCGCCAGCGGCGCCGCCCCGCCCCUUGACGUCACCACCGCCCGGCGCCGCCGCCACGCCGCCACGCCGCCACGCCCCCAACCAGCCCCCUUCACACCUUCUCACAGACCCCGCCCAUUGCUUCUCAGGGCCUAGACACGCCUUAGCUGACGUCACUCGUCCUGACAGAGACUCUCCUGCCAGGGACGAGCCCCUACAGCUGAGGCCACGAGGCUGGUGUCUUUGUUUGGCCAAUAAAAGCGCGGUCACGGGCAGGUGAGUCUCUUGGCGGGAAACGGCCAGCACCCUCGAAGUUAGCGAACUUGGCUGAACACGGGAACCAACUCGAAUGUUCGCAGAUCGUGACUGUCUUCACACAAAUGCGUGCCCCGUCGAUGCCAACUGUAGGGCAGAGCUGCCUGGUCUGGGUCUGGCCAAGCUGGUCUGACCCCACUUGAGUGCUCCGCCAAAACGAAGCUACCAUGUAUCUCUUCUGUUCCAUCUCAACUCUGGGUCCAAGAAACACUCUUACCCAUCUUUUGGGCGUUGAAGAUUAGGAGAUCAAAUACACAUUAGAGCUCUCUGGUU